AGUUUGAUCCUGGCUCAGAUUGAACGCUGGCGGCAUGCCUUACACAUGCAAGUCGAACGGUAACAGGUCUUCGGAUGCUGACGAGUGGCGAACGGGUGAGUAAUACAUCGGAACGUGCCCGAUCGUGGGGGAUAACGGAGCGAAAGCUUUGCUAAUACCGCAUACGAUCUACGGAUGAAAGCAGGGGACCGCAAGGCCUUGCGCGGACGGAGCGGCCGAUGGCAGAUUAGGUAGUUGGUGGGAUAAAAGCUUACCAAGCCGACGAUCUGUAGCUGGUCUGAGAGGACGACCAGCCACACUGGGACUGAGACACGGCCCAGACUCCUACGGGAGGCAGCAGUGGGGAAUUUUGGACAAUGGGCGAAAGCCUGAUCCAGCCAUGCCGCGUGCAGGAUGAAGGCCUUCGGGUUGUAAACUGCUUUUGUACGGAACGAAAAGCCUCUUUCUAAUAAAGAGAGGUCAUGACGGUACCGUAAGAAUAAGCACCGGCUAACUACGUGCCAGCAGCCGCGGUAA
rnacentral:rRNA from 1 species